GCUGUCCUGGGCUCCAGCAGCCUGCCUGCCUGGUACUCGGAGCCAGGAAAUAUGCAUUGAAUCAGCAUUCAGGGCCCUUUCCAAGCCUGUGUGUGACUCUGCAUCUCACCGCAAAUCUCAGGGGAGUGGCAACCUUAGGAGGAAGUGCCCAUUUACAGAAACUGCACAGAAGCAGUGCGGUCCCUUCUCAACCCUGGGCCGUGCAGGCCCAGCAGCUGCAAGGUGGAUGGAAUGUGCACAGAAAACUUGAGGGGACUGUGUGGCAGCCGCCACCCACAGAAAGGGGCUCGGAACCCAUGGCUUGCUGAGUCCCCAGAGCCAAGCAAGCCCUCAGCCUUGUUGGGGGAAUGGGCUGAGAACCCUCGGGACAUGUCUUCGCUCUCACUCCAACUCCCCCAAACAUAUUCUUUGAGCGGUACUGCAGCAGGGCUCCCUGGAGGCGGUGUCGGUGACGGGACUGCUCCUCAGCAGGCUGAGCACAGACCCAGCCAUGCAUUUUCCAUCGCGUCCGAAGA